rnacentral:rRNA from 1 species
UAGGGAAUCUUCGGCAAUGGGCGAAAGCCUGACCGAGCGACGCCGCGUGGGGGAUGAAGGCCUUCGGGUCGUAAACCCCUGUCCUUGGGGACGAAGUGCUGACGGUACCCAAGGAGGAAGCCACGGCUAACUACGUGCCAGCAGCCGCGGUAAUACGUAGGUGGCAAGCGUUGUCCGGAUUUAUUGGGCGUAAAGCGAGCGCAGGCGGUUUUUUAAGUCUGAUGUGAAAGCCUUCGGCUCAACCGAAGAAGUGCAUCGGAAACUGGGAAACUUGAGUGCGGAAGAGGACAGUGGAACUCCAUGUGUAGCGGUGAAAUGCGUAGAUAUAUGGAAGAACACCAGUGGCGAAGGCGGCUGUCUGGUCUGUAACUGACGCUGAGGCUCGAAAGUAUGGGUAGCAAACAGGAUUAGAUACCC